AUGCUUCAGAUACCUUCGCUGAAGAUGCGUACACUGUUGAUCCGGUGCUUGGUUGAGAUAUUUGAUCCUAGCAAGGGCAGAUUCAUUGUACAUGACUUGGUUGGCGAAGUGUCUCUCGGUGCCGUGGAUGUUGAGUGCAUCUUGGCCUUGGAGAACCACGCACUGUCGGCAGAAGGUAUUCUCGGUGAGGAAGGUGAGGAUGUUAAAGAUCGAGUGCCGCCUCAAUUCCUGAGCAAGACCACAGGUAACAUAGUCAUCGAUGAUCUGAUUGUGGACAUCACAAAAAAUAAAUCUGCCGACGACGAUUUCCUUCGGAGAGUUGUCCUCCUGUUGCUUGGAACAGUUCUUGCUCCCAUGUCGAGCAAGACUGUACCAAAGCAAUAUUACGCAUUGGUGGACGAUGUGAAGCAUAUAUCCAAGAUUAAUUGGAAUGCAUUCACCCUCCGGGUUCUGCUGGACUGCCUUCGCAACGUGAGGAAAGGCAAACACCUUCGCCAAUGGCCGAGAGGGAACAUAGCUCUCCUGCAGGUACACCUUUCAUGUAGUACCUGUACUGGGAGAAGGUUCAGCCUCUGGAAGGUGAAUGCGCAUUCAAUCCUAGCUUGUCCAUGGAACCUCUAA
rnacentral:rRNA from 1 species